rnacentral:rRNA from 1 species
UAAAGUGGCGCACGGGUGAGUAACACGUGGAUCAUCUACCUUUUAGUGGGGAAUACCUCUGGGAAACCGGAGACAAUACCGCAUAAGCCUGUAAAGGGAAAGCAGCAAUGCGCUGAAAGAGGAGUCCGCGGCCGAUUAGCUAGUUGGCGGGGUAACGGCCCACCAAGGCGAAGAUCGGUAGCCGGCCUGAGAGGGCACACGGCCACACUGGCACUGAAACACGGGCCAG